rnacentral:lncRNA from 1 species
AUGGGGGGGGUCUUUUCAACACGUGGCCAAUACAGGUUAGCUCUCUGGGGUGCUCCUUUCAACAUGUGGCCAAUACAGGUUAGCUCUCUGGGUGCUCCUUUCAACAUGUGGCCAAUACAGGUUAGCUCUCUGGGUGCUCCAAUACAGGUUAGCUCUCUGGGUGCUCCUUUCAACACAUGGGCAAUACAGGUUAGCUCUCUGGGUGCUCCUCAACUCACACAACUUCUAAAGACUUUGGUUGUGACUUUCAGGUUAGCUCUCUGGGUGCUCCUUUCAACACGUGGGCAAUACAGGUUAGCUCUCUGGGUGCUCCUCAACUCACACAACUUCUAAAGACGUUGGUUGUGACUUUCUCCUAUUGCGAAGCAGCAGGGGCAGUAUAUUCUACAGUUCAUUGAUAAUAUGCGAUAUAUUGAUGAUGCUGUCUCGGUAAUACAAACCAUCACUAAACUGCAUAACGUUUUCCUAUCAAAUACACUAUCUACUCAAAGUUCACACAAUAAAAAAAGAAGCCAUCUGUCAAAAUGACAAUCUAUUAAUAAAAGCCGUUUUCUCGUGUCGGUUCUUUAAAAGCAGAAGAGGUCAACUAGCUUGUUGCCUUCGGUAUGUAGGGCGUCGGACAACGCUUGGUUGGCUGGUAACGACUCUCAACAACAGAUAGUGCCGUAUUGUAAUCACUGAUGUAAAAGAUUCAGAAAGCUUGCGGUAAUAGUAGCAGAAAAGAUAGCAAAUCGGAUGUCGUUUGAUACAUUCCAUCUUUCGCUGACCACCGCAAUAAACGAUGUGACUCGUUAUAAAUGGCAACAACUCGGGAAACAUAAUCUCAUUCCCAUCCCGGACACACAUCAGCAACUCAACAUACAGCCUUCCAGUGUAAGGGGGGAAACUUCCUAUAAACCAAUAUAACGCACUUCCCGUUUUCUUAUUAAACAUAACCGCCUCUCUCUCUCUCUCUCUCUCUCUGUCUGUCCACCGUUAUCGCCACAUGGCCUGAUAGAAUACAGUAGUCGAGAGAAGAUGAACGAGAGGCAGCGAGAUACGAGGUAAAUCUUCAGGGCUUCGGCUACAUAUUGUGACAGUUGGACGAGGUAUGGCUUUGCGCCGUGGUCCGCCAUAAAGACGUCCUCAGCAUACAACUCACUCGACCGUUCCAUUCCUUAGUUGCGCAGUGAGAUGAACGCCACACAAAAUGGUCACAGUUUUAUGCGGACAUCAAAAUAGCCCGUUUAUUGCAACCAAUUGUACACUAUUAUAGAUUAUUAUAAACAAACGUGAUAGUUAUAAUAUAUGUAUUAUUCAAAUCUUACCUUGAAUUAGCUGACGUUUAUCGCCAAGUUCAGAGGAAAAUGUAGACUUUACGCACACACGCACAGCAUCAUCCAGCCGGUUGUUGUGAAAAAUGUUUUUUUCAUACAGAUUUUUUUUAUAUAGACUAUUACACUGAUCCACCUUUAAAAUGCCAAAACUUAGUUAUCCAAGUGCUAGGAAUAAUAGGAUACACAGCUGUUUCCGGUGUCGGCGACUAUAUAGAGAAACAUGAUUGGGGAAAGUAGCCUACAGGGUUGGAUGGAAUGUGUUGUGCUCCUGUCCAAAAACACGGUCGGAAAAUGACUCGGAUUAAUAGGUGACUAUCCAACUGUUUCACUGGUUGAUAUUGUUUCCUCUCUCCUCCUCUGUCACUGUCUCUCUUUUUUUGUAUCAAGGCGGGGUCUUGAGUCUUUUAAACCAAUGAAAUAAUCCUAUAUGACGAAGCCUCGCCCCCUCCUACAGGUUUCCAGUCUUCUGUUCAAACACUGCCGUUCUGUGUGGUUUGGGCCUGGUGAGCUGCGCUAACGCCAUGGGGCAGUCACCACUUCUGGAGGAGACGAAAUGACGGAUACUGACGGGAGUGUUUGGGUUCGGGAAGAUGGACAUUUACUUUUCCAUCAAUACUGAUUUAUUUUUUUAUUUUUUUAUUUUUAUUUUUUUAACCUUUAUUUAACCAGGCAAGUCAGUUAAGAACAAAUUCUUAUUUUCAAUGACGGCCUGGGAACAGUGGGUUAACUGCCUGUUCAGGGGCAGAACGACAGAUUUGUACCUUGUCAGCUCGGGGGUUUGAACUCACAACCUUCCGGUUACUAGUCCAACACUCUAACCACUAGGCUACCCUGCCGCCCCAUAUGAUCAUAUAGGUAAUCAAUAACAUAUAGGUCAUCCAUUACUUGUCAUAGUUGUUUUUUUAAAAGAUUGUUCAAAUAUUAUUAUUUUUUAACGUUUUUGUUUUUUUCCAACAUUGCCUUCAAAAACAAUGUAAAUCAACCAAAGGUUGGCCCAUGUUGAUGAUGCGUCUUGCAUGUUGUUUAUGAAAGGACUUCCCAUUUUCAACAUAAACAUGUAAUAAAGAGGGAAAAUAUCCCAUAACAAUGUUGAAGGAUUAUUACAGUAGUCCUGCUUCGUUCAAGGUCACCAAACAGUUGAGUCAUGACACGAAG